GCCCUUUAUGUCUACUUGCUACACACGUGCUACAAUGGUUGGUACAGAGGGAAGCUAUAUAGUGAUAUAAUGCAAAACUCGAAAGCCAAUCCCAGUUCGGAUUGUAGGCUGCAACUCGCCUACAUGAAGUCGGAGUUGCUAGUAAUCGCGGAUCAGAAUGUCGCGGUGAAUGCGUUCCCGGGUCUUGUACACACCGCCCGUCACACCAUGGGAGUUGAUAAUACCCGAAGCCUGUGACCUAAUUGAGGAGCAGUCGAAGGUAGGAUUGAUGACUGGGGUGAAGUCGUAACAAGGUAGCCG
rnacentral:rRNA from 1 species